ACCAACUGCAAGCUGCGCGAAAACUAUCAAUUUGCAAUCGAAAUCUAUGAGAUUUCAAUAUCGUCUUCAGUAGGCCAAGGAUUGUUGCGAAUCGUCUUCAGUAGGCUAAGGAUUGUUGCGAAUCAACCGAAAUCUAGGUUUCAUGUGAUGUGCCUCUUUGGGCUGCUAUUGGAGGACAGGAUGUGGAGCGGUUACCCUCAGCUUCGACAUGCUACAACACUCUAAAGUGUGGCAGUACAUUAUGAGGAUAUAUACUCUGGCUGAAACGGGUGAAAUUUUUGAUAGUACACAUGAAGGGAAUACUACUGCUGAUAUAUACCCUAGCUGUGAGUUUGCUUUCACCUGCUUUCUAUUGAAAUGAUUUAUAAUUUCACUGCUGAUUGGGUGAAAUGCUAUUAGUCGUAUAUCUGAAUAUGUAAUGUUAGGAGAUUUGGUGGGAGUUUGGCAAGAAUAUCUCAAUGUAGGAUCCUUUCUAGAUUCAGGCUUUUGAAUCAACUUUCUAGUGUUUUGAGUCUGGCAGAAUAUCUGAAUCUAAGAUCCUUUUAGAUUCAGGCUUUGGAAUCAGCUUUUGAGUCAUUUCUGAAUACUUGCACUUUUGUUAGACCAUUA